rnacentral:rRNA from 1 species
UCAGUUGUGAAAGUUUGCGGCUCAACCGUAAAAUUGCAGUUGAUACUGGGUGUCUUGAGUACAGUAGAGGCAGGCGGAAUUCGUGGUGUAGCGGUGAAAUGCUUAGAUACCACGAAGAACUCCGAUUGCGAAGGCAGCUUGCUGGACUGUAACUGACGCUGAUGCUCGAAAGUGUGGGUAUCAAACAGGAUUAGAUACCCUGGUAGUCCACACAGUAAACGAUGAAUACUCGCUGUUUGCGAUAUACAGUAAGCGGCCAAGCGAAAGCGUUAAGUAUUCCACCUGGGGAGUACGCCGGCAACGGUGAAACUCAAAGGAAUUGACGGGGGCCCGCACAAGCGGAGGAACAUGUGGUUUAAUUCGAUGAUACGCGAGGAACCUUACCCGGGCUUGAAUUGCAACUGAAUGAUGUGGAGACAUGUCAGCCGCAAGGCAGUUGUGAAGGUGCUGCAUGGUUGUCGUCAGCUCGUGCCGUGAGGUGUCGGCUUAAG